rnacentral:rRNA from 1 species
ACGUAGGGGGCAAGCGUUGUUCGGAAUUACUGGGCGUAAAGGGCAUGUAGGCGGUUUAGUAAGCUUGGCGUGAAAGACCACAGCUCAACUGUGGGGUUGCGUUGAUAACUGCUGAACUUGAGUUACGGAGAGGGAGCUAGAAUUCAUGGUGGGGUGUUUGAAUCUGUGGAGUUCUGGAAGGGUUCCGUUUACGAAGGCAACCGUUUGUCCUAUAGCUGACGCUGAUAUUCUAAAGUGUAUUGAUCAAACAG